rnacentral:rRNA from 1 species
UGACCUCGGAUCAGGUAGGAAUACCCGCUGAACUUAAGCAUAUCAAUAAGCGGAGGAAAAGAAACCAACAGGGAUUGCCCUAGUAACGGCGAGUGAAGCGGCAACAGCUCAAAUUUGAAAUCUGGCUACU